UCGUGUACAUUUCUUCGUUUCUUCUUUGCUGUUUUCAGUGAGUGUUUUGUUUUCUCUUUGUCCUUGAUCUCGACGAUGUUGUCGUGCUCAUUACCUUACUGAGACGUCUCUUGUGACUGUAGCCAGUGUCACGGAGGAUUUUAUUGGCGUGACAAGGUAGAUCGCCGAGAUCGAGCGUGAAAAACGCUCUGCAUUAGUAGCUCCUGUAGAAUGUUUUCUGGGAUGGCGUAUCCAUGGUCAACAAAACCAAGGUGCAAGACAGCAUGAGAGAUUGUGUAAACGAUGUGAACUCCAAAAGGUUCAAGGCUAGAUGCACUUCACAUUCGGCGUGCGAUCUCAGCGUCUGGGACCUGAUGAAGUCUUGGUUGGAUGAUUAUUCAAGCCUGACACUACUCGACACACCAAUGUACAUGUCAAUGUAAUUUUUUCAGGGCUGCACUAUUUACGUGUUGAUGCUUACUUCGGUGUUAGCGUGUUUCCCCCGGAUUGUUUCUAUCAUCAUGAUCGUGUGUUCUUGGGCUGAGCGAGCACAUGCACAAGUGUGCAGCUAUAACCCUGUGUAUCUUUGGUUACACUUUGUUCUGCAAUGCAUGUACCUUGUAACAUUAUGUGCUUGCACUGCUUUGUCUGGCCUGCGUAUUUCAGGACUAUUCAGUGCAUUAGACCCAGGUUUGUUUGGUUGCCGGAUGAUCUCUUGUUGCGUCGCUCUGUAUUUGUAUUCAUCAAUUUUUGGGCUUGAGAAUUGAGCUGUUGUGUGGUUCCCAAUAUGAAAACAUCAUGCUGGUGCUCUGUGUUU